rnacentral:rRNA from 5 species
GGUCAAGUUACAAAGGGCUAACGGUGG